rnacentral:lncRNA from 1 species
CCUCUCGAUGCUUUCACCUCCUCUGCCAAAUUGUUUCUGCAUCAAGAGAGAGGAGCAAAACCACUGUGGGGGGAAAACAGCAGUUAAGGCUCUUCGGUGAACAAGACUGCAGGCUUAGUCCCAAACGUGGCCUCAAGAGGGCUCCCAGCUUCCUUCCAGCAUCCUUGGAUGAGACAGAGACAGCAACCUGGCACAGAGAGAGGAUGAUCACAGCUGUAUGGCUGCUCAAGAAGCAUUGUUUUUCAAUGUGAAAGGUCAAGUGCUGAACUGCUAAACUCUUCUCUAUUCCUAGGCACCUGUGCCUAUGAGAGAUGCAGGUACCUUUGCAGAUCUUGGCCCACAUCAUUGGAGCAAAUGAAUUGAAAGUGCGGGGGAAGGACCCAGUAAGAGAGGACCACUGAAAGCACAUUGGAUGCAUUGGGUAUGGCCUAUUCCCACUGUGAGUGACACUGCUUCUUGCUUUUGAGAAAGAGAAAAGGAAGAGUAAAAGCAAGAGAAACUUCUGAGUCAAGAAAGAAAUGUUUGGACAAAGAGAGAAAGAAAACAAAACAAGCAGGAAACCUUUGAAGGAUGGAUGAACUGAAUGUGAGAGCAGGAGGAAGGCAAUAGCCAUCUUUGGACAAAAAUUACAGAGGACAGCUGUCCCUUCUGCCACUGUGAAGCGGCUCUGGGGUGUAAAUGGAUCUGCUGACUGUGGAUGGAGGGUUGCUGUUUCAGGAGCAACUGCAAAUUCAGACACAUGAGAAUUGAUAAGCUGACACAAGCGGCCUUCCUCUGAAGAGCGGCCUUGCAGAAAGUCUGGGGAACCAGACAGAGGUUGAGAAGGCACCAAAGAGAGAUGGAUGCAAGGUGGCUGUGAGGCCUAUUGAUUCGAAAACCACCUUCCCCACAAAGCAGAGACGGAAAAGAAAAGCAGCAGAGAUUCAUCCAUCUGCUGCUAAGGACACAGAUGAGCCCCCAGCUAGAAAACUACCUAUGGUGAUUCUUGCUUCAGUCCCACCUGAAUACACCUUGGUCAGCACUGAAGUCAUAAAACUUCCAAGCAGUCUGGAACUGCUUCCAGGAACACAGGCAUACUCUGUGGCACAGUCAGAGGUCUCAAACUCAACAGCCCAUUCCUCACAAGAAGCAGAUAAGACGCAGCAGCUGAGCUGCACAGAGGCGGGGAAAGCACUCGUCUCUGAAGAUGAUGACCUUCAGAAGUUAUUGAUGGAAAUCACAGGAGAACUGGAAGGAGAAAAUGAUGUGGACGCUGAAAAGGGUGUGGAUGAGCUCCUUCUGGAACUGUCUGAGAUCACUGACAGCGUGAUACCACAGUCUGAUUGUAAUUUUUAAGACAAACAACAGCAACAACCAAUUAAAACCAACCCUGUUCCUUUUCAACCCUGUUCCUUUCCUUAUUCUGAGGGGACACUUUUUCUGAAACUUUGCAAUGAGUCUUAAAGCAGAGUCAAAC